AAUAGAUACCCAGGUAGUCCACGCCCUAAACGAUGUCUACUAGUUGUCGGGGGGUAACUCCUUCGGUAACGCAGCUAACGCGUGAAGUAGACCGCCUGGGGAGUACGGUCGCAAGAUUAAAACUCAAAGGAAUUGACGGGGCCCGCACAAGCGGUGGAUGAUGUGGAUUAAUUCGAUGCAACGCGAAAAACCUUACUUACCCUUGACAUGCCACUAACGAAGCAGAGAUGCAUUAGGUGCCCGAAAGGGAAAGUGGACACAGGUGCUGCAUGGCUGUCGUCAGCUCGUGUCGUGAGAUGUUGGGUUAAGUCCCGCAACGAGCGCAACCCUUGCCAAUAGUUGCUACGAAAGGGCACUCUAUUGGGACUGCCGGUGACAAACCGGAGGAAGGUGGGGAUGACGUCAAGUCCUCAUGGCCCUUAUGGGUAGGGCUUCACACGUCAUACAAUGGCUGGUACAGAGGGUUGCCAACCCGCGGAGGGGGAGCCAAUCCCACAAAACCAGUCGUAGUCCGGAUUGCAGUCUGCAACUCGA
rnacentral:rRNA from 1 species